GUGGCAGCAGCCGCGGUAAAACCAGCACCUCAAGUGGUCAGGAGGAUUAUUGGCCUAAAGCAUCCGUAGCCUGUUCUAUAAGUUUCCGGUUAAAUCCAUUAGCUCAACUAAUGGGCCGCCGAAAAUACUGUAGAACUAGGGAGUGGGAGAGGUAGACGGUAUUCGGUAGGAAGGGGUAAAAUCCUUUGAUCUAUUGAGGACCACCUGUGGCGAAGGCGGUCUACCAGAACACGUUCGACGGUGAGGGAUGAAAGCUGGGGGAGCAAACCGGAUUAGAUACCCGGGUAGUCCCAGCUGUAAACGAUGCAGACUCGGUGAUGCGCUGGCUUGUGGCCAGUGCAGUGCCGCAGGGAAGCCGUUAAGUUUGCCGCCUGGGAAGUACGUACGCAAGUAUGAAACUUAAAGGAAUUGGCGGGGGAGCACCACAAGGGGUGAAGCCUGCGGUUCAAUUGGAGUCAACGCCAGAAACCUUACCCGAAGAGACAGCAGAAUGAAGGUCAAGCUGGAGACUUUACCAGACAAGCUGAGAAGUGGUGCAUGGCCGUCGCCAGCUCGUGCCGUGAGAUGUCCUGUUAAGUCAGGUAACGAGCGAGAUCCCUGCCUCUAGUUGCCACCAUUACUCUCAGGAGUAAUGGGGCGAAUUAGCGGGACCGCCGCAGUUAAUGCGGAGGAAGGAAGGGGCCACGGCAGGUCAGUAUGCCCUGAAACUUUGGGGCCACACGCGGGCUGCAAUGGUAGUGACAAUGGGUUCCGAAUCCGAAAGGAGGAGGCAAUCCUCAAACGCUACCACAGUUAUGAUUGAGGGCUGUAACUCGCCCUCAUGAAUAUGGAAUCCCUAGUAACUGCGUGUCAUUACCGCGCAGUGAAUACGUCCCUGCUCCUUGCACACACCGCCCGUC
rnacentral:rRNA from 1 species